CUGGCAUCUCCUCAGUGUAGCAGCCUGCCUUCAUUUCACUUUUUUUUCUGCAGCCUUUUGAUGAGGAAACCAAUUGCAAUUUGGGUUGUGGAUGCAGGUGCAUCAAGGAGAAGGUCAGCCAAGAAGGGCUCAUCCUGCUGUCUUCUGACAGUCACACACCAUCGGGAGUAGGAUCUCAAAAGCACCAAACAUGAGCUACAGCUGCUGUGGUUUUGUUUUGUAUGAUGAAGUCCCUUGAGCCUCACAUGCCUUGCACCCAAGCAGAGACCAAGGAGUCCACAGAGUUGCUCACAGGAGAAAAAGAAGAGUAUUUUAAGCCCCCACCUUCAUUUUUUGCCCUGUUCUUUACCCUUUGUUGUCCAGUGCUUGCAAAGGCAGAAGUAGGCUGUGGUGACUUGUUCCCAUCCCAUGCCUGCUCAGAGGGAGCUGCCCCAUGUUCUCUGCUCUCAGUGCCUGUGCCUGCCCUCUGCAGCCUGGGUACGGGCAGCCCUGGGGCAGGGUGCUCCACCUGCACUCUCAUCGCCUAAAACCCAGGUGCAAAACACCUCUCCUGGAAGCACAGGCAGUUCCUUUUAUUCUGAUUACCAAAAUGUCUCCUGGAAAUAACUGGGCAAUACAGUAAACAGGAGAGGCAUAAAUACUGUGUAGCAUCCUUAUAUAUUCACUUACUUACCUUGCCUCUCUCUUUUCUAUUGUUUUGUAACCAUCAUAUAAAUAAAGAAUUUUUUCCUUCUACUGCCA